rnacentral:sRNA from 1 species
ACUAAAAUCAUUGUCAACAUUAUGCAUAAUGAAGUAACAGCAAUAACAAUUCUUUCAAGAGCUAUAGGAUCAUUUCCAACCACAUUUACUUGUCCCCAAUGUUUAGGAGAUUGGUAAGCUAAUUCAUCCACUCCCUCAAUUCUCUAUGUUUAUCUCUAUCUGGAGCAAUGUGAGACUAUGUCAACAUAUCUUAGAGCCUCCGAGUUCUGCCACCACGAGGCAUGACUCACUUACAGUUAUACAUGAUAUGCUAAACAUUAGAAUGUACGUACAGUGAAGCCUACUGACUUUAAUGCAUGCUCUGAUACCAAAUUGACAUGCCUCGCUCCGUGUAAUGUUAUUGGACCCGAAAAGUAACAUACGCCGAUAAUAGGUACCAGCUAAAGGUCGAACCUACCGUCAAGGGUACUACGAUAUGCAACUUUUUAUAAAUUAAUUCUAACAAAAUUUCAACAUUAUCUUUGUUGUAAAUAGAACUAAUCGACUUAUAAUUCACUGUGAUUAAAUCCCAAAAAUAACACAUACAAUAGAGAUAAACCGAAAAUUCAUCUUUUACUAUGAAAAUAACUUAAAACGUACAUAUGGAUAUAAAAUACAUAGUGAGUCUCAUAGCUAUCUACAAGUUAUGCAAAAUCAUAUCUAAGAGUGAACAAGUGUCCCAAAACACUAACUACACGCUUUAUGAAAUGAGUCAUACGAGCAAACUCUGUCGUAUGACAGUUUCAAAAAUCAAGGCUUAGCUACAAAGAUGCCCAGAACUCAAUUGCUACCUAAUAAAAAAAUCGUAGAAAAAUAUAUGAGUUGAUAGCUCAGUGUGUGAAAAAGUUCAAACAUAAUUAUACUUUCUCAUU